UUGAACGCUGGCGGCAGGCCUCACACCUGCAAGUCGAGCGGAUGAAGGGAGCUUGCUCCUGGAUUCAGCGGCGGACGGGUGAGUAAUGCCUAGGAAUCUGCCUGGUAGUGGGGGAUAACGUCCGGAAACGGGCGCUAAUACCGCAUACGUCCUGAGGGAGAAAGUGGGGGAUCUUCGGACCUCACGCUAUCAGAUGAGCCUAGGUCGGAUUAGCUAGUUGGUGGGGUAAAGGCCUACCAAGGCGACGAUCCGUAACUGGUCUGAGAGGAUGAUCAGUCACACUGGAACUGAGACACGGUCCAGACUCCUACGGGAGGCAGCAGUGGGGAAUAUUGGACAAUGGGCGAAGGCCUGAUCCAGCCAUGCCGCGUGUGUGAAGAAGGUCUUCGGAUUGUAAAGCACUUUAAGUUGGGAGGAAGGGCAGUAAGUUAAUACCUUGCUGUUUUGACGUUACCAACAGAAUAAGCACCGGCUAACUUCGUG
rnacentral:rRNA from 1 species